GCCGGGCAUGGUGGCAGGUGCCUGUAAUCCCAACUACUCAGGAGGCUGAGGCAGGAGAAUCACUUGAACCCAGGAGGUGGAGGUUGCAGUGAGCCAAGAUCAUGCCACUGCAUUCCAGCCUGGGUGACAGAGUGAGACUCUGUCUCAA
rfam:Homo sapiens chromosome 10, GRCh38 reference primary assembly.